UACGGGGGGGGCAAGCGUUGUUCGGAAUUACUGGGCGUAAAGGGCUCGUAGGUGGCCAACUAAGUCAGACGUGAAAUCCCUCAGCUUAACUGGGGAACUGCGUCUGAUACUGGAUGGCUUGAGUUUGGGAGAGGGAUGCGGAAUUCCAGGUGUAGCGGUGAAAUGCGUAGAUAUCUGGAGGAACACCGGUGGCGAAGGCGGCAUCCUGGACCAACACUGACGCUGAGGGAGCGAAAGCCAGGGGAGCAAACGGG
rnacentral:rRNA from 1 species